rnacentral:rRNA from 1 species
AUGAACGCUGGCGGCGUGCUUAACACAUGCAAGUCGAACGAAGCACUUUAUUUGAUUUCCUUCGGGAUUGAUUAUUUUGUGACUGAGUGGCGGACGGGUGAGUAACGCGUGGGUAACCUGCCUUGUACAGGGGGAUAACAGUUGGAAACGGCUGCUAAUACCGCAUAAGCGCACAGCAUCGCAUGAUGCAGUGUGAAAAACUCCGGUGGUAUAAGAUGGACCCGCGUUGGAUUAGCUAGUUGGUGAGGUAACGGCCCACCAAGGCGACGAUCCAUAGCCGACCUGAGAGGGUGACCGGCCACAUUGGGACUGAGACACGGCCCAAACUCCUACGGGAGGCAGCAGUGGGGAAUAUUGCACAAUGGGCGAAAGCCUGAUGCAGCGACGCCGCGUGAGCGAAGAAGUAUUUCGGUAUGUAAAGCUCUAUCAGCAGGGAAGAUAAUGACGGUACCUGACUAAGAAGCACCGGCUAAAUACGUGCCAGCAGCCGCGGUAAUACGUAUGGUGCAAGCGUUAUCCGGAUUUACUGGGUGUAAAGGGAGCGCAGGCGGUGCGGCAAGUCUGAUGUGAAAGCCCGGGGCUCAACCCCGGUACUGCAUUGGAAACUGUCGUACUAGAGUGUCGGAGGGGUAAGCGGAAUUCCUAGUGUAGCGGUGAAAUGCGUAGAUAUUAGGAGGAACACCAGUGGCGAAGGCGGCUUACUGGACGAUAACUGACGCUGAGGCUCGAAAGCGUGGGGAGCAAACAGGAUUAGAUACCCUGGUAGUCCACACGGUAAACGAUGAAUACUCGCUGUUUGCGAUAUACGGCAAGCGGCCAAGCGAAAGCGUUAAGUAUUCCACCUGGGGAGUACGCCGGCAACGGUGAAACUCAAAGGAAUUGACGGGGGCCCGCACAAGCGGAGGAACAUGUGGUUUAAUUCGAAGCAACGCGAAGAACCUUACCAAGUCUUGACAUCCUUCUGACCGGUACUUAACCGUACCUUCUCUUCGGAGCAGGAGUGACAGGUGGUGCAUGGUUGUCGUCAGCUCGUGUCGUGAGAUGUUGGGUUAAGUCCCGCAACGAGCGCAACCCUUAUCUUUAGUAGCCAGCGGUUUGGCCGGGCACUCUAGAGAGACUGCCAGGGAUAACCUGGAGGAAGGCGGGGAUGACGUCAAAUCAUCAUGCCCCUUAUGACUUGGGCUACACACGUGCUACAAUGGCGUAAACAAAGGGAAGCAAAGCUGUGAAGCCGAGCAAAUCUCAAAAAUAACGUCUCAGUUCGGACUGUAGUCUGCAACCCGACUACACGAAGCUGGAAUCGCUAGUAAUCGCAGAUCAGAAUGCUGCGGUGAAUACGUUCCCGGGUCUUGUACACACCGCCCGUCACACCAUGGGAGUUGGGAAUGCCCGAAGCCAGUGACCUAACCGAAAGGAAGGAGCUGUCGAAGGCAGGCUCGAUAACUGGGGUG